rnacentral:lncRNA from 1 species
CCGAGCUGGUUUGCGUUGGUGCACUGGGCCCCGAAGGACCGAUCUCCUAGAUCGGAAGAGAC